CCAAAAUUCAUGACCAUUUUAGGUAUUUUCUCAUUUGUCAACCAUGAAACAAUCGCGACGGCUAGAUUGUAACACAUACACGAGUCAGUUUCUUAUUGGUCACCUAACAAAGGUUGCAAAGUGCACCGAAACAGUAAAAGAAUACCCAACAAAAUCAACCCUUCUCUAAUUCUUCGUCAAUUACUCAGAUUCACAUACAACACACCGCACAAGAUCAUUCCUCCUCUUCGUUACUCAAAUUUCUAUCUUCGCUCCAAAACGCGCCACUGCAAAACCUCUCCCUCUUCUGUUUCACAAUUUUUAUGGAUUGUGUGGUAGUGGAUUCGGACAAGGGCAACGAGGCAGAUCGUAGCUGUCUAGAAGAGAGUACAAGUAUAUUUAAUGGAGUUGAAGUUCAAGAGCCCUAUGUGGGCAUGGAAUUUGAUUCUGAAGAAGCUGCCAGAACAUUUUAUGUUGAAUAUGCUAGACGGGUAGGAUUUGUUGUACGUGUUAUGCAGCGUCGACGUUCUGGAAUCGAUGGCAGAACUCUUGCUCGUCGACUUGGGUGUAACAAACAAGGAUUCUCACCCAAUAGCAAGGGAACACCGGGGCAAGAAAAAAGACCAAGGCCCAGUGCCCGAGAAGGUUGCAAGGCAACAAUUUUAGUUAAGAUGGAAAAAUCUGGAAAAUGGGUUGUCACAAGAUUUAUAAAGGAUCACAACCAUCCACUAAUUGCUACAGCUAAUGGUUUCAGUACAGAGGGACCUGUGACUGCCUGAGGUAAAUGCCAGCAAAGAAGUGAUGGAUUGAGGUUAAGGUUGCGGCACUAGAAGCAGGGUUAUUGGAGGUUUGUUCUGCCUUGGCAGAGGUACAGAGCACAAUAAAGUAUGACUCCAAACAUCGAUUCACAACUUCGGUUUGGCCGUCGGUUAAUGAUGAUACGACAAGCUCAUCUUCAAUGUAGUUCCUUGUAGUCUUAACAGCUCUCUCCAAAACAAGCUGAUGAACAACAGGAGAGGUGUAAAGUUGACUGGUUAUCACAUGCAAGUUCCAGCUAAUCAACCUGGCAAAAAUGUAUCUUUUGCAGUAAAUGUUUCGACCAUACAAGCUCACAUGUAGCAUGAGCCGUAGCUCGAUACUCGAUUUCGACUCGACCAUGCAACAACAGUUUGUUUUUUGCUCUCCCAAGAAAUCAAUUUUCCACCCACAAAAAUACAAGAUCCAUAAGGUAACUGCAUUUCACUCACAUCUCCUGCCCAAUCGACAUAUGAACACCCAACAAUAUUUGAGUGGUCUUUAUCAGAGAAAACAAGUUCUUUUCCUGGUGCUAUUUUGAUGUACUCAAGAAUUCGAACAACUGCAUUCCAAUGACUGUCAUAUGGAGAGUUAAAGGAAUUGAUUUACGACACUAACUUGAAAAGGUAUGUCUGGUCUUGUUAAGGUGGGAGAUAAUCCAUUUUUUCUUUAGUCUUCGGUAUUUACUUGGAUUAGGAUAUGGCUCCCCUAGUCUUCUGACCAUAGACCUUAGUAUAGCCUUUUGUAACUAAUCAAGCCUAUAAUCAAACAACCUAUCCACCGGUCCUACUUUGACAUUAAACACCCUUCAAAUGCGGGAUCCACACACUGAACGUGGUUGUAAUAGAACAAGGCAGGGAGGCGAGUCUGAUGCAACAAACAGCGGCGAGAACGAGUGGUUGCAGGGUGGCGUGUGUCCCACACAUGCCGGAAAACACCUUAUGAGGUGGCAACGUGUGGCAUAGUUUUUGGCAGCAGCACUUCAGACUCUGGUAAAUCGGCAACUUUCGGUGCUGAUGGUGGCACGUGUGUUCCUAGAAACAGAAGUGGAGAAGUCUCGGGUGGCGGCAGCGGUAGCCUCUGGACGGCUUUUGUCCAAACCAAAUUGGAAAAGUCUCUGGCAACAGCGGCACACUCUGAAUUGCUUUGGUCCAGACGAUACUGUCCCUUGGACAUCCGUAAUAAGACGCCUUUUCUUGCAGGUAAAGUAAAUUGAAAACAUGGUAACCUAACAAAGAAGAGAGAAAUAUGCAGACAAUAAGUGAAACAAGUCAAGAUUUUGUGUAUCCCAUGAAAAGUAUCAAUAAUAAUUAGGUGUCUCCAGCUCUAUGAUCAUCAGCAUUGCUGAAUAGGCCUCAGUGUUAGGUUUAUUAGUUCUGCAGACUGGUUGCAAUUUUGGCCUAGUCAUUCUCAUGGCCAAGGUGAAUUGAAACAGUGUGAUGAAGAUGAGACCUUUUACCAAAAGGAGCAUUCCCGGUGUACUGUGUCCAACUUCUAUGCUAUACCUUUGUUUACCGUGCAUGGCACAUACUAAUUAAGAACAUGCCCUAAGUUUAACAGACAACACCGCCACUAUCCCCACAGCCAAAUACAGUACAAUUGGUGAACGCACCAAAACAGGGGUUUCAGGACGAUAAAGAUAAGAAAAUUGCUGAACUUACUAUGGAGUUGAAGCGCCAAGAUGAACUUUGUACUGCAUAUAGAGAAAAACUACUUAGCUUCAUAAACAAUGUCGAGGAACAAACAGAGGAAAUGUCCACAAAAAUUCAACUAAUUAUUGAAAAUAUAAGGAGAGCAGAAAGCCUCGGGACUGUACUUGAAUGUAUAGAUGAAUAAAUGUACAGUAUAUAAUUUCACUAAUAGUAUUCCAUUAAAGUAGCAUGCAGCUGUUAAUACAUGGUUUAUUCCUGGGUGUUAAGCCAUAGGGCAUCUAUCAAGUUU